GACAGAGGGGGCAAGCGUUGCUCGGAAUUACUGGGCGUAAAGGGCGCGUAGGCGGGAUGGCAAGUCGGUCGUGAAAUCCCUCGGCUCAACCGAGGAACGUCGAUCGAUACUGCUGUUCUUGAGGAUUGCAGAGGAGACUGGAAUUCCCGGUGUAGCGGUGAAAUGUGUAGAGAUCGGGAGGAACACCGGUGGCGAAGGCGGGUCUCUGGGCCAGUUCUGACACUGAUGAGCGAAAGCCAGGGGAGCAAACAGG
rnacentral:rRNA from 1 species